rnacentral:rRNA from 2 species
UUAAGCGACUAAGCGUACACGGUGGAUGCCCUGGCAGUCAGAGGCGAUGAAGGACGUGCUAAUCUGCGAUAAGCGUCGGUAAGGUGAUAUGAACCGUUAUAACCGGCGAUUUCCGAAUGGGGAAACCCAGUGUGAUUCGUCACACUAUCAUUAACUGAAUCCAUAGGUUAAUGAGGCGAACCGGGGGAACUGAAACAUCUAAGUACCCCGAGGAAAAGAAAUCAACCGAGAUUCCCCAAGUAGCGGCGAGCGAACGGGGAGCAGCCCAGAGCCUGAAUCAGUGUGUGUGUUAGUGGAAGCGUCUGGAAAGGCGCGCGAUACAGGGUGACAGCCCCGUACACAAAAAUGCACAUGCUGUGAGCUCGAUGAGUAGGGCGGGACACGUGGUAUCCUGUCUGAAUAUGGGGGGACCAUCCUCCAAGGCUAAAUACUCCUGACUGACCGAUAGUGAACCAGUACCGUGAGGGAAAGGCGAAAAGAACCCCGGCGAGGGGAGUGAAAAAGAACCUGAAACCGUGUACGUACAAGCAGUGGGAGCACGCUUAGGCGUGUGACUGCGUACCUUUUGUAUAAUGGGUCAGCGACUUAUAUUCUGUAGCAAGGUUAACCGAAUAGGGGAGCCGAAGGGAAACCGAGUCUUAACUGGGCGUUAAGUUGCAGGGUAUAGACCCGAAACCCGGUGAUCUAGCCAUGGGCAGGUUGAAGGUUGGGUAACACUAACUGGAGGACCGAACCGACUAAUGUUGAAAAAUUAGCGGAUGACUUGUGGCUGGGGGUGAAAGGCCAAUCAAACCGGGAGAUAGCUGGUUCUCCCCGAAAGCUAUUUAGGUAGCGCCUCGUGAAUUCAUCUCCGGGGGUAGAGCACUGUUUCGGCAAGGGGGUCAUCCCGACUUACCAACCCGAUGCAAACUGCGAAUACCGGAGAAUGUUAUCACGGGAGACACACGGCGGGUGCUAACGUCCGUCGUGAAGAGGGAAACAACCCAGACCGCCAGCUAAGGUCCCAAAGUCAUGGUUAAGUGGGAAACGAUGUGGGAAGGCCCAGACAGCCAGGAUGUUGGCUUAGAAGCAGCCAUCAUUUAAAGAAAGCGUAAUAGCUCACUGGUCGAGUCGGCCUGCGCGGAAGAUGUAACGGGGCUAAACCAUGCACCGAAGCUGCGGCAGCGACGCUUAUGCGUUGUUGGGUAGGGGAGCGUUCUGUAAGCCUGCGAAGGUGUGCUGUGAGGCAUGCUGGAGGUAUCAGAAGUGCGAAUGCUGACAUAAGUAACGAUAAAGCGGGUGAAAAGCCCGCUCGCCGGAAGACCAAGGGUUCCUGUCCAACGUUAAUCGGGGCAGGGUGAGUCGACCCCUAAGGCGAGGCCGAAAGGCGUAGUCGAUGGGAAACAGGUUAAUAUUCCUGUACUUGGUGUUACUGCGAAGGGGGGACGGAGAAGGCUAUGUUGGCCGGGCGACGGUUGUCCCGGUUUAAGCGUGUAGGCUGGUUUUCCAGGCAAAUCCGGAAAAUCAAGGCUGAGGCGUGAUGACGAGGCACUACGGUGCUGAAGCAACAAAUGCCCUGCUUCCAGGAAAAGCCUCUAAGCAUCAGGUAACAUCAAAUCGUACCCCAAACCGACACAGGUGGUCAGGUAGAGAAUACCAAGGCGCUUGAGAGAACUCGGGUGAAGGAACUAGGCAAAAUGGUGCCGUAACUUCGGGAGAAGGCACGCUGAUAUGUAGGUGAAGUCCCUCGCGGAUGGAGCUGAAAUCAGUCGAAGAUACCAGCUGGCUGCAACUGUUUAUUAAAAACACAGCACUGUGCAAACACGAAAGUGGACGUAUACGGUGUGACGCCUGCCCGGUGCCGGAAGGUUAAUUGAUGGGGUUAGCGGUAACGCGAAGCUCUUGAUCGAAGCCCCGGUAAACGGCGGCCGUAACUAUAACGGUCCUAAGGUAGCGAAAUUCCUUGUCGGGUAAGUUCCGACCUGCACGAAUGGCGUAAUGAUGGCCAGGCUGUCUCCACCCGAGACUCAGUGAAAUUGAACUCGCUGUGAAGAUGCAGUGUACCCGCGGCAAGACGGAAAGACCCCGUGAACCUUUACUAUAGCUUGACACUGAACAUUGAGCCUUGAUGUGUAGGAUAGGUGGGAGGCUU